GAUGAACGCUGGCGGCGUGCUUAACACAUGCAAGUCGAACGAUGAAGCCCAGCUUGCUGGGUGGAUUAGUGGCGAACGGGUGAGUAACACGUGAGUAACCUGCCCUUGACUCUGGGAUAAGCCUGGGAAACUGGGUCUAAUACUGGAUAUGACUUCUCAUCGCAUGGUGGGGGGUGGAAAGAUUUAUUGGUCUUGGAUGGACUCGCGGCCUAUCAGCUUGUUGGUGAGGUAAUGGCUCACCAAGGCGACGACGGGUAGCCGGCCUGAGAAGGUGACCGGCCACACUGGGACUGAGACACGGCCCAGACUCCUACGGGAGGCAGCAGUGGGGAAUAUUGCACAAUGGGCGCAAGCCUGAUGCAGCGACGCCGCGUGAGGGAUGACGGCCUUCGGGUUGUAAACCUCUUUCAGUAGGGAAGAAGCGAGAGUGACGGUACCUGCAGAAGAAGCGCCGGCUAACUACGUG
rnacentral:rRNA from 1 species